GACGAACGCUGGCGGCGUGCUUAACACAUGCAAGUCGAGCGAUGAAGCACCUUCGGGUGUGGAUUAGCGGCGAACGGGUGAGGAACACGUGAAGAAUCUGCCUUCAACUCUGGGAUAACUCCGGGAAACCGGGGCUAAUACCGGAUAUGAGCCUUGGCCGCAUGGCCGGGGCUGGAAAGUUUUUCGGUUGAAGAUGACUUCGCGGCCUAUCAGCUUGUUGGUGAGGUAAUGGCUCACCAAGGCGACGACGGGUAGCCGGCCUGAGAGGGCGACCGGCCACACUGGGACUGAGACACGGCCCAGACUCCUACGGGAGGCAGCAGUGGGGAAUAUUGGGCAAUGGAGGAAACUCUGACCCAGCGACGCCGCGUGCGGGAUGAAGGCCUUCGGGUUGUAAACCGCUUUCAGCAGGGAAGAAGCGAAAGUGACGGUACCUGCAGAAGAAGCACCGGCUAACUAUGUGCCAGCCGCCGCAGUAA
rnacentral:rRNA from 1 species